AGCGAACGCUGGCGGCAGGCUUAACACAUGCAAGUCGAGCGGGCACUUUCGGGUGUCAGCGGCGGACGGGUGCGUAACGCGUGGGAACGUGCCCUCUGGUUCGGAAUAACUCAGGGAAACUUGAGCUAAUACCGGAUACGCCCUUUUGGGGAAAGGCUUGCUGCCGGAGGAUCGGCCCGCGUCUGAUUAGCUAGUUGGUGAGGUAACGGCUCACCAAGGCGACGAUCCGUAGCUGGUCUGAGAGGAUGAUCAGCGACACUGGGACUGAGACACGGCCCAGACUCCUACGGGAGGCAGCAGUGGGGAAUAUUGGACAAUGGGCGCAAGCAUGAUCCAGCCAGGCCGCGUGAGUGAUGAAGGCCUUAGGGUUGUAAAGCUCUUUUAUCCGGGACGAUAAUGACGGUACCGGAGGAAUAAGCCCCGGCUAACUUCGUG
rnacentral:rRNA from 1 species